AGAGUUUGAUCCUGGCUCAGGGCGAACGCUGGCGGCGCGCCUAACACAUGCAAGUCGUGCGAUCGGCCCCCGAGAAGUCCCUUCGGGGAUGGAUCGGGGGUACGGAGCGGCGAACGGGUGAGUAACACGUAGCUAACCUGCCCCCGCGUCGGGGAUAACCCUCCGAAAGGGGGGCUAAUACCCGAUGGCCUCCCGGGGUCACAAGAUCCCGGGAGUAAAGGCGCUUCGGCGCCGCGCGGGGAGGGGGCUGCGGCCCAUCAGCUAGUUGGUGGGGUAACGGCCCACCAAGGCGAUGACGGGUAGGGGGCCUGAGAGGGUGGCCCCCCACACGGGCACUGAGACACGGGCCCGACUCCUACGGGAGGCAGCAGUGGGGAAUCUUGGGCAAUGCCCGCAAGGGUGACCCAGCGACGCCGCGUGGGGGAUGAAGCCCUUCGGGGUGUAAACCCCUUUUCUGGGGGACGAAUAAGGGGAGGAGGGAAUGCCCCCCCGAUGACGGUACCCCAGGAAUAAGGGACGGCUAACUACGUGCCAGCAGCCGCGGUAAGACGUAGGUCCCGAGCGUUGCCCGGAUUCACUGGGCGUAAAGUGCGCGUAGGCGGUUCGGCAAGUCGCCCGUGAAAGCCCCUGGCUCAACUGGGGGAGGUCGGGCGAUACUGCCGGGCUAGAGGGCGGCAGAGGGAGGUGGAACGGCCGGAGUAGCGGUGAAAUGCGUAGAUACCGGCCGGAAUCCCGAUGGCGAAGGCAACCUCCUGGGCCGUUCCUGACGCUGAGGCGCGAAGGCUGGGGGAGCGAACCGGAUUAGAUACCCGGGUAGUCCCAGCCCUAAACGAUGCGGGCUAGGUGUCGGCCCGUUAUUGGGUCGGUGCCGCAGUUAACGCGUUAAGCCCGCCGCCUGGGGAGUACGGGUCGCAAGGCUGAAACUCAAGGGAAUUGACGGGGGCCCGCACAAGCGGCGGGGGCAUGUGGUUUAAUUCGAUGCUAAGCGAAGAACCUUACCUGGGCUUGACAUGGCGGGUGGUGCCGACCCGAAAGGGAGGACCCAGGCUUCGGGGCUGGGGCCGCACAGUGCUGCAAUGGGCUGUUCGUUCAGACCUUCAUGUCUGAGUGGUUAUCG
rnacentral:rRNA from 1 species